rnacentral:hammerhead_ribozyme from 1 species
GUACUGCUGAAGAGUCCCAAACUGGUGGGACGAAACAGUUGUUCAGUAC